rnacentral:ncRNA from 1 species
GAGUGACGGCGUGCCUUUUGCAUAAUGAACCUACGAGUUACUUUUUCCGGCAAGGUUAAGGGUCUUGAGACCUGCAGCCGAAGCGAAAGCGAGUCUUAACAGGGCGUUCAGUCGGAAGGAGUAGACGCGAAACCAAGUGAUCUACCCUUGGGCAGGUUGAAGGAUGGGUAACACCAUCUGGAGGACCGAACCAAUAAGCGUUGAAAAGCUUCUGGAUGACCUGAGGGUGGGGGUGAAAGGCUAAUCAAACUUGGAGAUAGCUCGUACUCCCCGAAAUGCAUUUAGGUGCAGCCUUGACUUAUACUGGCAUGAGGUAGAGCGACUGAUAAGAUGCGAGGGCUUCACCGCCUAUCAAGUCUUGACAAACUCCGAAUGCGUGUCAGUUCUAUGUCAGGAGUGAGGGCAUGGGUGCUAAGGUCCAUGUCCUAAAGGAGAACAAUCCGGACCAACAGCUAAGGUCCC